UCAUGGCUCAGGAUGAACGCUGGCGGCGUGCUUAACACAUGCAAGUCGAACGAUGAAGCCCAGCUUGCUGGGUGGAUUAGUGGCGAACGGGUGAGUAACACGUGAGUAACCUGCCCUUAACUCUGGGAUAAGCCUGGGAAACUAGGUCUAAUACCGGAUAGGAGCGCCUACCGCAUGGUGGGUGUUGGAAAGAUUUAUCGGUUUUGGAUGGACUCGCGGCCUAUCAGCUUGUUGGUGAGGUAAUGGCUCACCAAGGCGACGACGGGUAGCCGGCCUGAGAGGGUGACCGGCCACACUGGGACUGAGACACGGCCCAGACUCCUACGGGAGGCAGCAGUGGGGAAUAUUGCACAAUGGGCGAAAGCCUGAUGCAGCGACGCCGCGUGAGGGAUGACGGCCUUCGGGUUGUAAACCUCUUUCAGUAGGGAAGAAGCGAAAGUGACGGUACCUGCAGAAGAAGCACCGGCUAACUACGUGCCAGCAGCCGCGGUAAUACGUAGGGUGCGAGCGUUAUCCGGAAUUAUUGGGCGUAAAGAGCUCGUAGGCGGUUUGUCGCGUCUGUCGUGAAAGUCCGGGGCUUAACCCCGGAUCUGCGGUGGGUACGGGCAGACUAGAGUGCAGUAGGGGAGACUGGAAUUCCUGGUGUAGCGGUGGAAUGCGCAGAUAUCAGGAGGAACACCGAUGGCGAAGGCA
rnacentral:rRNA from 1 species